UACGUAGGGUGCGAGCGUUGUCCGGAAUUAUUGGGCGUAAAGAGCUCGUAGGCGGUUUGUCGCGUCGACUGUGAAAACCUACAGCUUAACUGUGGGCUUGCAGUCGAUACGGGCAGACUUGAGUUCGGUAGGGGAGACUGGAAUUCCUGGUGUAGCGGUGAAAUGCGCAGAUAUCAGGAGGAACACCGGUGGCGAAGGCGGGUCUCUGGGCCGAUACUGACGCUGAGGUGCGAAAGCGUGGGGAGCGAACAGG
rnacentral:rRNA from 1 species